UACGUAGGGGGCUAGCGUUGUCCGGAAUCAUUGGGCGUAAAGCGCGUGUAGGCGGUUCGGUAAGUCCGCUGUGAAAGUCGGGGGCUCAACCCUCGGAUGCCGGUGGAUACUGUCGGACUAGAGUACGGAAGAGGCGAGUGGAAUUCCUGGUGUAGCGGUGAAAUGCGCAGAUAUCAGGAAGAACACCAAUGGCGAAAGCAGCUCUCUGGGACGGUACUGACGCUGAGACGCGAAAGCGUGGGGAGCGAACAGG
rnacentral:rRNA from 1 species